rnacentral:rRNA from 1 species
GACAGAGGGUGCAACCGUUGUUCGGAAUUACUGGGCGUAAAGCGCGUGUAGGCUGCCCUGCAAGUCAGGUGUGAAAGCCCUGGGCUCAACCUAGGAAGUGCACUUGAAACUGCGGGGAUUGAGUGCUGGAGAGGGAAGCGGAAUUCUCGGUGUAGAGGUGAAAUUCGUAGAGAUCGGGAGGAACAUCUGUGGCGAAGGCGGCCACCUGGACCAACACUGACACUGAGGCACGAAAGCGUGGGGAGCAAACAGG